GAGAGCUUGCUCUUGGGUGACGAGUGGCGGACGGGUGAGUAAUGUCUGGGGAUCUGCCCGAUAGAGGGGGAUAACCACUGGAAACGGUGGCUAAUACCGCAUAACGUCGCAAGACCAAAGAGGGGGACCUUCGGGCCUCUCACUAUCGGAUGAACCCAGAUGGGAUUAGCUAGUAGGCGGGGUAAUGGCCCACCUAGGCGACGAUCCCUAGCUGGUCUGAGAGGAUGACCAGCCACACUGGAACUGAGACACGGUCCAGACUCCUACGGGAGGCAGCAGUGGGGAAUAUUGCACAAUGGGCGCAAGCCUGAUGCAGCCAUGCCGCGUGUAUGAAGAAGGCCUUCGGGUUGUAAAGUACUUUCAGCGGGGAGGAAGGCGAUGUGGUUAAUAACCUUACCGAUUGACGUUACCCGCAGAAGAAGCACCGGCUAACUCCGUGCCAGCAGCCGCGGUAAUACGGAGGGUGCAAGCGUUAAUCGGAAUUACUGGGCGUAAAGCGCACGCAGGCGGUCUGUUAAGUCAGAUGUGAAAUCCCCGGGCUUAACCUGGGAACUGCAUUUGAAACUGGCAGGCUUGAGUCUUGUAGAGGGGGGUAGAAU
rnacentral:rRNA from 1 species